UACGUAGGUCCCGAGCGUUGUCCGGAUUUAUUGGGCGUAAAGCGAGCGCAGGUGGUUUAUUAAGUCUGGUGUAAAAGGCAGUGGCUCAACCAUUGUAUGCAUUGGAAACUGGUAGACUUGAGUGCAGGAGAGGAGAGUGAAAUUCCAUGUGUAGCGGUGAAAUGCGUAGAUAUAUGGAGGAACACCGGUGGCGAAAGCGGCUCUCUGGCCUGUAACUGACACUGAGGCUCGAAAGCGUGGGGAGCAAACAGG
rnacentral:rRNA from 1 species